rnacentral:rRNA from 1 species
AUGUCCUCCUCCAGCGCUUCUCAGAGCAGCCUCACCGGCCAAAUCACGGAGAAACUCACCCGGGGAAACUACGUGCUCUGGCGUGCCCAGAUCACCCCCCAACUUCGAGGUGCAGGGUUCUUCGGCUAUGUCGAUGGAACCGUGCUGGAGCCUGUCCGGGUGAUCACCACCAAGGACAAGGACGGGAAGGAAGAAACAUCGUUGAACCCACUCCAUGCGAUCUGGGUUAGGGAGGAUCAGCAGGUACUUGGUUACUUGCUUAACAAUCUGUCAAAAGAGGUGCUUGUGCAGGUCACUUCUAUCUCCCAUGCCCAUGAGCUAUGGGCUGCGCUGGCAAACAUGUUCGCCUCGUAG